rnacentral:rRNA from 1 species
GGACGACCGCUGGCGGCGUGCUUAACCCAUGCAAGUCGAACGAUGAAGAAAAGAAUUGAAGCUUCGGCAGAAAUUCAUUUCGGAUUAGUGGCAGACGGGUGAGUAACGCGUGAGCAACCUACCUCUUACAAAGGGAUAGCCUCGGGAAACCGGGAUUAAUACCAUAUAACAUUGCGACGAAGCAUUUCGAUGCAAUCAAAGCUACGGCGGUAAGAGAUGGGCUCGCGUCCCAUUAACCAGAUGGUGAGGUAACGGCUCACCAUAGUAACGAUGGGUAACCGGCCUGAGAGGGUGAACGGUCACACUGGAACUGAGACACGGUCCAGACUCCUACGGGAGGCAGCAGUGGGGAAUAUUGCACAAUGGAGGGAACUCUGAUGCAGCGACGCCGCGUGAGUGAUGAAGGAAUUCGUUUCGUAAAACUCUGUUCUAUGGGAAGAAAAGGACUGUACCAUAGGAGAAAGCUCCGGCUAAAUACGUG